UUUGAAUGCCUCGUGCUCCAGUCUGACUUCUUUGGCAACAGCUCCUGGCCAGUGUCAUAUCUUGUUUUUUUGGAUCUUCCUGCUGGUAUCGUGCCUGGCUGCUCUGCAACAUUUCCUACCGCUCCAGGGGUUACCUUGAUUGCACGAUAUACUCGUCCAGUUUCAGCUUGCGAUCACAUCGUAAUUACAGUAAUGAGAAUUUACGGGGCUACUAUUACGACGGCAAUCCAGUGAAGUCAGUUACAGCAACCAAUUUUCCUGAUGUGGGUACUCAAGUCUGUAAAACGGGUGACGCGGUCUGAACUGAGGAGGCUAGUGGCGUGGUGUCCGAGAAAGCUGAACUGGAAGACACAGCGCGAAGGAUAUUAGUUCUGCAAUUACCAGCGCUGGUAGGAGAUCUGUGCUCCCGUGAAAUCAGAAAAAUUGAAUUCCAAUGAACUGCAAGCUUUUCGGAAAGAAGGAGAAUGAGGCAAUGAAAAGUGAUUCAGAGAGCACAACAGAAAAUCAGUUUUUAAUCAAGAAAAAACAAUCUACGGAAACAGAGAUGUGUUCAACUACCUAAAAGAAAUUUCAGCAACCAUUCAUCCAUGAUUCGCCAAUUUGCAGAUCCCCCAACUUGUAGUCGGAACUCAAAACACUUUCUAAACGCUGACAUCCUCAAGCACCUCUGGGAGAAAGUGAAGGGGCGCCAGGUUCGUCAUUCCCCUUUGGUGGAUACUGAUAGACAAAUGAGGCCAGAUUGGCUGUAGGAUGUAAGGGGCGAUUCGUCUUCCGAUCACAUCCGGAAUUGGAAGCCCUGGCGGAGCCAAUCAGAUUCCGUUCGUCUCCGCUUGCUGGUGUCACACUCCCAAGGCCGAGAGUGGCCUGAAAAACUCUGUGGAACCCUCUUAACUCUUUCAGG